UCCAUUUAUUUUUGAAUUGUGGCUUACCAGGGGUCUCUGGAAUCACAGAAAGGGACAUUACUAGUAGAGAAGGUGGCUUGACAGCCAGCCAGCCCUGGGUCUGCCUGCCUGGCCCUGCUUCUCUUUCUGGUGGAGAGAGAGUCUGGCCUGCUCUGCCCACAUCAAACACAGUGCUGUGAUCCAGAUAAGGGAAGGCCCAAGCCUUGCAGGGCCUAAGAUCCAUUGCUUUCUUCAAGUCAGAUCUAUUACUUUGUAACAAAAUUCAGAGUUCCCUUCACAUGGACAAAAGGAAGUUAGGGCCUCAAAUGAGAGGUCUGUAAGUAUCUGGGUGGAAGGGCAGCAAGGGAGUGGGGGAAGGGUGGGGAGGAGAGGCAGCGGGGGGGGGGGGGAGAGGGAGGCAUCAGGAGGAGGGAGACAAGAACGGAGUGGGGCAUUGGGGGGCAGCAGCAGGGUGGGGGAGGGGGAAAGGGAAGCAUCGGGUGGAGGGGGAUUGGGGGGCAGCAGUGGGGUGGGGGCCUGGGGGAGGGAGGCAGUAGGGGAUCCUCAGGUUGCAGCCAGGAUCCAUGGCUCUGGUCACAGCUUUAUGACAGCACACAGUAGGGAUAAACCACAGAGAUUCUGUCUGCUCAGAGAACUCGCUGUGUGGGCCCUAUAGUGACCCCUGCUCCAAGCUACAACCUGUAGCCUCUAAAACUAAGACUGACGGUAUUUCAACACUCUGGUGGACCGACGAGGCAUGCCUUCCUCUUGAAGAUGUGCGGUUAAGUUGGAGCAGCACUGGUCCAACGUGCAGAGAGAAUGAGGAUCCCAGUCUACUGGUCCCAAUGGAAUGGCUGACACAGGACCAUUGGAAUAGCAUCAGGACCAGCCUGGGGCUUCCUCUGGAUCCCGAGUUGGCCCUGACACAUCCUUGGGUUCUGCACAGAAUCAUCUUCAGAAGUAGGAUGCUGAGGAUGCUAAGGAUGGAGCAUCCAAGGCAGCACUUCUCAGGACCAGCAGGAGGCUCGCACAGGAUGUCAGUUAACUGCCAUGACGCCUACUCCAGAGAAAGUCAGGGUUACCUGCUGCUAAAGGCCCUGGGGUCUCUCCAGGUGAGCUGCCAGUCUCACCCACCUGCAGCCCAUGGUUUGGUCCCAGGCCCUGGACAGAGGGAUCUUCGUCCUCUUCUCUUCUCCAUCACUCAGCACUCUGGACCACUUGUCAUUCCCACUGACAAAUGACACUUGAGGAGGGACAGGAACCCGAGUACCUAGGAAGGAUGCUUUUUUUUUUUUACCCACUUUAGAGAUCUGGAAAGAUCUGGCUAUAUAGGGGAUACUUUUUUUUAAAUGUAUUUUUAAAAAUUAUUUGAAAUUAUAAUUUCAUCGUUUCCAAUGUUUCCUUUCCUUUCACCAAUGCCUCCCGUGGCACCCCCUUGCUCUCUCUCAAAUUCGUGGCCUCUUUGUUACACACACAGAGAGAGAGAGAGAGAGAGAGAGAGAGACAGAGAGACAGAGAGACAGAGAGACAGAGAGACAGAGAGACAGAGACAGACAGACAGAUAGACACUCCUAAAUAUAUCCUGCUCGGUCAAUGUGUUAUCCGUACAGCUGAUAGUAAAUGAAGCAACAGGAAAAAAGGACAUUCUGCUAAAAUAAAACUAUGUCUAAAUAAAACUAUGUCUAAAGUCACCCUGGGAAGACACAGGACUGCAGGGCAAACCACAACAAAAGACCGACCCCUGCAGAUGCGUUGCAUGGAGGACCUGUGAGCAAGGGAAGUGAAGGGCUAGAAGAAGGAGUCCCUGACCUGGUGCUCCCCUCACAGAACACCCAAACCAAGUGUCUGGCUGAGACGGCCCACAAGCAUCCAGGCUCCCAAAGCCUUGAGAGAAUGUAAUACUCAUUUCAACCCCCAGGGGGCACUAGGCUUCUCUGCAUCAACCUGGAUCCGCGCUCUCUCCCAUCAGCCACUUCAAGGUGCUUUGUGGCUGCUUUUUGCUUGACUUUGUGGCGAAAAAUGUCUCACUGCUGUAAACGAUUCUGAAAUGGUCUCUCUCUUUCUCUCUCUCUUUUUUUUUCCCAAGGAAAUUCUCUCUCCAGACUCAAACAUUUUCUCUUUUCACCGCAAGUCAGUUCACCUCUGCUGGGUCUUAAAAGGCUUAGCGGAGUUCCCUAGACAAGGGUCUCACACCCAACUGGGCUGGGUCCCAGUAGCUGGCCUGGUGUAACCUGCUGUGUUCCACAGGCUUCCCUGCCUGUCCCAAGCACUCAGCAUAAUUAACAUCUUUGACAUUGCUCCAGCGGGGCUGCCAGAUCCCAUUAGCCAAGUCCACUGAAAAUGUGGGUCAUCUCUCCUUUUUCCUUUUCGAUUUUCUACUUUAAAGGGCACACCGCCUUUUAAAGCCGAUGAGAAAUCCAAAGCAGCUCUCAGGAAGAGCGGUAUCGGCUCUGGUGACUUAAACAUGCGCCGUCACGUGACGAAUAGAUCGUAAAGUUAACGGACGAUGAUACCCAUGGACGAUGAUGCGGACGAAGAAGUAUUCGUAAACAGCCUACCGCUCCAAAGGCUGCCAUUUCCUCUCUGUAGAAGGAGAAUAGCAACAUGAGUCAGGCGUGGUGGUGUAGACCUGUGAUCUCAUCUGACAGGGGACAACUGAGAGUUUGAGGUCAUCUUGGGCAACCCCAGAAUGAGGAUGGAGAAGGAUGGGGGGAGGAGAAAGGAAGCCAACCCAAGUAGCACCUGGCUUGCACAAUCACCCCAGCACAUCACCAUAGCGAGGGAAUCCAAGUCCUCUGCAGCAGCCGGCUAGCCGCAUAGACAAGAGCCCAAGGUAUUGGGGACCCACAUUGAGUAACCCAGACAGGGCCAUCGACCUUCUUUCCUGGGAAGGACUUUGUCUUGUCUGAAAUGUUUAUGGCUGGCCACGACUUGCAGUGACAGAGGCCAUAAAGAAUAGUCACCGAGUGUGUAAAUGAAGCCCAAGGUUUACACCGGUCUUUCCACAGAACAGUACUGUUUAGGGCAGACCAGGUCAAAGAGCACAGCCUGCUGUGUGCACGUGGAUCGGUGAGCAGGUAUAUAGGAAAGGAUAAAUGGCAAUCUUGAGUAUCAUUCUUUGGGCACAGUCCACCUUCUUUUUUUUUUUUUUUAAAUCUCUGCUUCCCCAGGUCCAGAAUUACGGUUCCUCGCUAACACAGCAGGCUUUUUAAAAAUUUUUAAUAUUUAUCGACACUUAGGAUCGGACUCAAGUCCUCUUGCUUGCAAGGUGAGCACGUUACUGACUGAGCCACCUCACCUGCCUCUGGAGUUUUGUGUCAUUUAGGUCCUGUGUUCAAAUCCAUGCUUCUGUGCCAACCCAGCAGAUCCCGCUGAAAGAGGCAUCUACAUGUGAACACAUCCUAACCUCAGCCAGCGUGUCCCGUGUGUGCUCGUAGGCCCCUAUGUGUUAGGGGCACAUCUCUAACACACAUGAGCUGAAUACAUACUUUUGCUUGGGAAAUUGGCAUGCACUCCUCUGCAGCCCCUUGUUCAAAGAUGUAGACCCGGAAGCGGCUAGACUCUUUUUCAGAGUAGUCAUGAGAAACUCUGGCUAGACUUCAGGAUGGACAGACAAGAAGACAUCAUCGCAGCCUGCUGUCACGAUGUUCAGACCAACCAGGGACAAGCGGGCCAUUGGCUCUGGGUAAAUUUGGGUGGGAAACCCUGUAGGCUCUCCCCAAAUGUUCAAACUUUCCUUCCCAGUCUCCCUCCUUCCAGGAAGGGUGCUGUCACGGUGAAGCCUGCUGUCCUGCCUCACUGUGGCUUUGUCUCCUGCUGAACACAGGGAGCUGGCGUGGGCAAGGAAACCAGAGGCCAGCUAAUCCUCCUCAGGGGCCCCUGUCUUGGCUCCUCCCCCUUCAGCUACUAUCUGAAGUCUAAUGGGUCGUUUUUUUUUUGUUGUUGUUGUUUUUUUUUUUUUUUUUUUUUUUUUGACAAUGACAGAGCGAGCUACACUAAAAAAGACAUCAGAAGGUACCAGACUUAACUACAGUUUCUGCAGGGGAUUGGAAAGGAGGCUAGCCCUACCCUGGCUCCCAGACUCCCCUUCCCUUGCAGAAGAGAGACAAGCGGGAUCCCACACACCUGAGAAGGUCCCUCUAGGUAGCACCAUUUUUGACUGAGUUGAGGCAAUACCCGGAUGGUUUUUACUUUAACUUGGUACAAGCUAGAGAGGAGGGAACCUCAACAGAGAAGAUGCCUCCUCAAUUGAGGCCGUAGGCAGGCCUCUGAGGCAUUUUCUUAAUUAGUGGUUGAUGGGAGAGGGCCAAGCCGGUGGUAAGGCACACUGCCCGUGGGUUUGUGGUCGUGGGUGCUAUAAGGAAGCAGGCUGAGCAAGCCAUGAAGAGCAAGCUAGUAAGCGGGAUUGCUCCGUGGUCCAUUCAUAGGCUCCUGCCUCCGGAUUCCUGCCCUGUUCCUGACUUCCUUUGAUGAUGGACUGAGAUAAGGAACUGUAAACAAAAUAAGCCCUUUCCUCCCCACACUGCUUUUGGUCAUGAUGUUUCCUCCUAGCAACAGUGACCCUAACUAAGACGGUUAACAACAUCCCAAGAGCUCCAAGGUCAACCGAAGAGAUAGAGGGGCAGGUUCUGGGUCCUUCACCCGACCCAGGAUCCCCCAGGCCACUUGGCAGGGGCAGAAGGUUUCUUCCGGUUUUGAUUCGGAGGCACUCUCUGGGUUGCAUGCAAGUCGGGACACUUGGAGCCUCGGGGCUGCUGUGGAAGUCGCAGAGAGGCCAGCCCUUACUCAAUCCUAGGCCUGAGAGAAGGCUGGCAGAAAGAAGUAAUGGCCGCCCAUGAAGGCGGUUGUCAUGGAGAUAUUAGACAGGGACACUGAUCAUUCCCCACCCCAGGAGGGUCAAUUGAAUGAGUCAGUCUGAUGGGGCACGGCGCCUUAUCCUAGAUGUCUUGCAGGAGUUUCUGGGUGCGGUUGAAUCUGAUGGCUGUCCACCUGUAUGCUGGUGGGAUUCAUCUGACCCACCAUGUGACUUAAUAGAGCAGCGGGACGCGGAGAGAGGAUUCCGUUCUUCCUGCCUGCUUACAUUCGGCAUUGGUGUCCGCCUGGCCCUCGUACUCGGGAUGUACGUGAGCAGUUCUCUGGGCCCUCAAGCUUCAGAUUUAAACUAGAGACUGGCACCAGCACUGGCUCUCCUGGGUCUCCAGGCUGCUGCUAAUCACUUGAGCCAGCACCCGUUGUAGGAAGCAAUGGCCCUGAACUUAGAUGGUAGUUCAACUUAACAUUUUCCUUUAUUACAGCGCCCAAGUCCCAUGCAUUCGAGAGAAACCUCCCUGCAGCUCUUUCCCUGUGCUAAUGACAGGUUGUAUGAAUCUGUCUCAGUCUCUGCUAUUCCCCUCAAAGCAAGGCACAAAUUGUAACCGAAAUGCUCCGGGAUCCUAAGGGGAAAGUGUCAAUGCCACGAUGUGUACGGUAGGAAAAUGACAGGCAUGUUUGAUUUAAAAUACUUCCAAUUAAUGAUAGGUUUAUCAGGCACAUCUGUGCUGAGGUGUAUGGAUUAUGUGGUGGUUUGAACACCCAUGGCCCACAUAGACUCAUGUGUGUGGAUGCUUGGCCCAUAGGAAGUGGCACUUUGAGGAGGCGUGGCCUCGUUGGAGGAAGUGUGAUACUGUGGGUGAGCUUUGAGGUUAUAGAUGCGUGAGUCUGGCCAUUGUGACUUAGUCCCCGUUUGCUGCCUGAGGAUUAAUAUGUAGAACUCUUGGCUCCUUCUCCAGCACCAUGUCUACCCGAAUGCUGCCAGGCUUCUACCAUGGUGGUAAUGGACUGACCCUCUGAAACUGUAAGCCAGCCCCAAUUAAAUGUUGUCCUUUAUAA